rnacentral:rRNA from 1 species
GACGAACGCUGGCGGCACGCCUAAUACAUGCAAGUCGAGCGAACAGAUGGAGUGCUUGCACUUCUGACGUUAGCGGCGAACGGGUGAGUAACACGUAAGGAAUCUACCUAUAAGCGGGGGAUAACAUUCGGAAACGGGUGCUAAUACCGCAUAAUAUCUUCUUCCGCAUGGAAGAAGAUUGAAAGACGGCUCUGCUGUCACUUAUAGAUGACCUUGCGGUGCAUUAGUUAGUUGGUGGGGUAACGGCCUACCAAGACGAUGAUGCAUAGCCGACCUGAGAGGGUGAUCGGCCACAUUGGGACUGAGACACGGCCCAAACGCCUACGGGAGGCAGCAGUAGGGAAUCUUCCGCAAUGGGCGAAAGCCUGACGGAGCAAUGCCGCGUGAGUGAAGAAGGCCUUCGGGUCGUAAAACUCUGUUAUAAGAGAAGAACAAAUUGUAGAGUAACUGCUACAGUCUUGACGGUAUCUUAUCAGAAAGCCACGGCUAACUACGUGCCAGCCGCCGCCGUAA